ensembl:lncRNA
CAAUAGGCAACUGGAGGGAGUAUGACCACGGAUCUCAUUGGCUGCCAAUCUCCGUGCAUAAGGAAGAGAGAGGGAGGCAGCCAGGGCAGCAUUGUUAUCUUAAGACACUCAUCUGGUGCCUGAGUCUGCAGGUGACACUGCUUAGGUACGGAGUACCGAGUCAGAAUAUAGAACACAGGGCUACAGACCGCCUUUGACUCAAAACGCUGAGAAGAACCGGCCCCUCCUUUAGUUGUUCCUCGAGCAGGGGGGGACCUCUCUACUAGUUAACCCACCUAUGUGGGUGCACCUGCUGUGUGUAGAGAAGGCAGGAACAAAUCAGCUAGCAGCAUGAUCUCGGCUGAAAGACUGUGGACUUGCCUUUCUCCAAGUGAAAAGCAGUGAUUGGGAGGACAAGGAGUGCGAGUCUUUUUUAGAGUUGGAAAAGAAAAUUAGGUCCUGGAUUUCUCCUCUGCAGAGGGACCUGGGACUCCCCAAGGGGCUGGCUCUGGGCUGUCCUUGCUUUUUCCGUCCUGUCUUCGCCCUCCUGAUCCAAUCCAGAAGCACUCCUUAACCAUGCUUUGGGUUACCGGAGUUCUUGGUGUUCGGCUGGAAGAGAACAGGCGAGAGGUAUAGCCGCUCCAGCAGCAAAGGGAAGACAGCAUUUGGAAGGGGUAUCCGUGCUCUCUCCCAUUCUGAAAGGAAGGCAUUCGCAUUCCCUCCAAAUAUGGGGAGAGGGGGGAAGCACGUGAAAUCAUGAAAUAAAAACUUUGGAAAGCUGCCACUGGAGAUGUGGUCGGUGCUGAAAAAACCCUGGAAUCUGUUAGGAAUCUCCUCUCAGACGCUCUGGGGCUUGGGAGCAGCUGAUACAGCAAGGAAGUCUCUUGCAAGGAUUCAAGCUUUCUCCUGUCCUGUUCUGAGCCGGGCUGAAGGCUUCCUGGUUUGAACUAGCUCUAGUCCUUUUACCGCUGCUGCUCCAUGGGCAGCCAGAUCCCUGGGCAUUCUUCCUGACCUGUUAUUAUUGCCUGGGGUAAGUCUUCAAAGUUAG